GAUGAACGCUGGCGGCGUGCCUAAUACAUGCAAGUCGAGCGAACAGACGAGGAGCUUGCUCCUCUGACGUUAGCGGCGGACGGGUGAGUAACACGUGGAUAACCUACCUAUAAGACUGGGAUAACUUCGGGAAACCGGAGCUAAUACCGGAUAAUAUAUUGAACCGCAUGGUUCAAUAGUUAACGACGGUUUUGCUGUCACUUAUAGAUGGAUCCGCGCCGCAUUAGCUAGUUGGUAAGGUAACGGCUUACCAAGGCAACGAUGCGUAGCCGACCUGAGAGGGUGAUCGGCCACACUGGAACUGAGACACGGUCCAGACGCCUGCGGGAGGCAGCAGUAGGGAAUCUUCCGCAGUGGGCGAAAGCCUGACGGAGCAACGCCGCGUGAGUGAUGAAGGUCUUCGGAUCGGAAAACUCUGUUAUUAGGGAAGAACAAAUGUGUAAGUAACUAUGCACGUCUUGACGGUACCUAAUCAGAAAGCCACGGCUAACUACGUG
rnacentral:rRNA from 1 species